GGACCCGCACAAGUAGUGGAGCAUGUGGUUUAAUUCGAAGAUACGCGCAGAACCUUACCAACACUUGACAUGUUCGUCGCGACUCUAAGAGAUUAGAGUUUUCGGUUCGGCCGGACGAAACACAGGUGCUGCAUGGCUGUCAUCAGCUCGUGUCGUGAGAUGUUGGGUUAAGUCCCGCAACGAGCGCAACCCUCACUUUUAGUUGCCAUCAUUAAGUUGGGCACUCUGAAAGAACUGCCAGUGAUAAGCUGGAGGAAGGUGGGGAUGACGUCAAGUCCUCAUGGCCCUUACGUGUUGGGCUACACACGUGCUACAAUGGUAUCUACAACAGGAAGCGAAACUGCGAGGUUAAGCAAAUCCUUAAAAGAUACCUCAGUUCGGAUUGCACUCUGCAACUCGAGUGCAUGAAGCUGGAAUU
rnacentral:rRNA from 1 species